rnacentral:rRNA from 1 species
UACAGAGGGUGCGAGCGUUAAUCGGAAUUACUGGGCGUAAAGCGUGCGUAGACGGCUAUCUAAGUCGGGUGUGAAAGCCCCGGGCUCAACCUGGGAAUUGCAUUCGAGACUGUCUAGCUAGAGUAUGGGAGAGGGAAGUGGAAUUUCAGGUGUAGCGGUGAAAUGCGUAGAUAUCUGAAGGAACAUCAGUGGCGAAAGCGACUUCCUGGACCAAUACUGACGCUCAUGUGCGAAAGCGUGGGGAGCAAACAGG